ACUCGGGGGCUCUCGGGAUACUUUAACAGUGCAGUCGAACGGCAGCGCGGACUUCGGUCUGGCGGCGAGUGGCGAACGGGUGAGUAAUAUAUCGGAACGUACCCAGUAGCGGGGGAUAACUACUCGAAAGAGUAGCUAAUACCGCAUACGCCCUACGGGGGAAAGGGGGGGAUCGCAAGACCUCUCACUAUUGGAGCGGCCGAUAUCGGAUUAGCUAGUUGGUGGGGUAAAGGCCUACCAAGGCGACGAUCCGUAGCUGGUUUGAGAGGACGACCAGCCACACUGGGACUGAGACACGGCCCAGACUCCUACGGGAGGCAGCAGUGGGGAAUUUUGGACAAUGGGGGCAACCCUGAUCCAGCCAUCCCGCGUGUGCGAUGAAGGCCUUCGGGUUGUAAAGCACUUUUGGCAGGAAAGAAAUCGCACGGGUUAAUACCUUGUGUGGAUGACGGUACCUGCAGAAUAAGC
rnacentral:rRNA from 1 species